GGGUUGUGAGGUUAAGCGACUAAGCGUACACGGUGGAUGCCCUGGCAGUCAGAGGCGAUGAAGGGCGUGCUAAUCUGCGAUAAGCGCCGGUAAGGUGAUAUGAACCGUUAUAACCGGCGAUACCCGAAUGGGGAAACCCAGUGUGAUUCGUCACACUAUCAUUAACUGAAUCCAUAGGUUAAUGAGGCGAACCGGGGGAACUGAAACAUCUAAGUACCCCGAGGAAAAGAAAUCAACCGAGAUUCCCCCAGUAGCGGCGAGCGAACGGGGAGGAGCCCAGAGCCUGAAUCAGCAUGUGUGUUAGUGGAAGCGUCUGGAAAGGCGCGCGAUACAGGGUGACAGCCCCGUACACAAAAGCGCAUGUGCUGUGAGCUCGAUGAGUAGGGCGGGACACGUGGUAUCCUGUCUGAAUAUGGGGGGACCAUCCUCCAAGGCUAAAUACUCCUGACUGACCGAUAGUGAACCAGUACCGUGAGGGAAAGGCGAAAAGAACCCCGGCGAGGGGAGUGAAAAAGAACCUGAAACCGUGUACGUACAAGCAGUGGGAGCACAGGUUUACCUGUGUGACUGCGUACCUUUUGUAUAAUGGGUCAGCGACUUAUAUUCUGUAGCAAGGUUAACCGUAUAGGGGAGCCGAAGGGAAACCGAGUCUUAACCGGGCGUUAAGUUGCAGGGUAUAGACCCGAAACCCGGUGAUCUAGCCAUGGGCAGGUUGAAGGUUGGGUAACACUAACUGGAGGACCGAACCGACUAAUGUUGAAAAAUUAGCGGAUGACCUGUGGCUGGGGGUGAAAGGCCAAUCAAACCGGGAGAUAGCUGGUUCUCCCCGAAAGCUAUUUAGGUAGCGCCUCGUGAAUUCAUCUCCGGGGGUAGAGCACUGUUUCGGCUAGGGGGCCAUCCCGGCUUACCAACCCGAUGCAAACUGCGAAUACCGGAGAAUGUUAUCACGGGAGACACACGGCGGGUGCUAACGUCCGUCGUGAAGAGGGAAACAACCCAGACCGCCAGCUAAGGUCCCAAAGUCAUGGUUAAGUGGGAAACGAUGUGGGAAGGCCCAGACAGCCAGGAUGUUGGCUUAGAAGCAGCCAUCAUUUAAAGAAAGCGUAAUAGCUCACUGGUCGAGUCGGCCUGCGCGGAAGAUGUAACGGGGCUAAACCAUGCACCGAAGCUGCGGCAGCGACACUGUGUGUUGUUGGGUAGGGGAGCGUUCUGUAAGCCUGUGAAGGUGUGUCGUGAGGCAUGCUGGAGGUAUCAGAAGUGCGAAUGCUGACAUAAGUAACGAUAAAGCGGGUGAAAAGCCCGCUCGCCGGAAGACCAAGGGUUCCUGUCCAACGUUAAUCGGGGCAGGGUGAGUCGACCCCUAAGGCGAGGCCGAAAGGCGUAGUCGAUGGGAAACGGGUUAAUAUUCCCGUACUUGGUGUUACUGCGAAGGGGGGACGGAGAAGGCUAUGUUGGCCGGGCGACGGUUGUCCCGGUUUAAGCGUGUAGGUGUGUGUUCCAGGUAAAUCCGGUUCACUUUAACACUGAGGCGUGAUGACGAGGCACUACGGUGCUGAAGCAACAAAUGCCCUGCUUCCAGGAAAAGCCUCUAAGCAUCAGGUAACAUCAAAUCGUACCCCAAACCGACACAGGUGGUCAGGUAGAGAAUACCAAGGCGCUUGAGAGAACUCGGGUGAAGGAACUAGGCAAAAUGGUGCCGUAACUUCGGGAGAAGGCACGCUGACACGUAGGUGAAGUGAUUUACUCAUGGAGCUGAAGUCAGUCGAAGAUACCAGCUGGCUGCAACUGUUUAUUAAAAACACAGCACUGUGCAAACACGAAAGUGGACGUAUACGGUGUGACGCCUGCCCGGUGCCGGAAGGUUAAUUGAUGGGGUCAGCGCAAGCGAAGCUCCUGAUCGAAGCCCCGGUAAACGGCGGCCGUAACUAUAACGGUCCUAAGGUAGCGAAAUUCCUUGUCGGGUAAGUUCCGACCUGCACGAAUGGCGUAAUGAUGGCCAGGCUGUCUCCACCCGAGACUCAGUGAAAUUGAACUCGCUGUGAAGAUGCAGUGUACCCGCGGCAAGACGGAAAGACCCCGUGAACCUUUACUAUAGCUUGACACUGAACAUUGAGCCUUGAUGUGUAGGAUAGGUGGGAGGCUUUGAAGUGUGGACGCCAGUCUGCAUGGAGCCGACCUUGAAAUACCACCCUUUAAUGUUUGAUGUUCUAACGUGGACCCGUGAUCCGGGUUGCGGACAGUGUCUGGUGGGUAGUUUGACUGGGGCGGUCUCCUCCUAAAGAGUAACGGAGGAGCACGAAGGUUGGCUAAUCCUGGUCGGACAUCAGGAGGUUAGUGCAAUGGCAUAAGCCAGCUUGACUGCGAGCGUGACGGCGCGAGCAGGUGCGAAAGCAGGUCAUAGUGAUCCGGUGGUUCUGAAUGGAAGGGCCAUCGCUCAACGGAUAAAAGGUACUCCGGGGAUAACAGGCUGAUACCGCCCAAGAGUUCAUAUCGACGGCGGUGUUUGGCACCUCGAUGUCGGCUCAUCACAUCCUGGGGCUGAAGUAGGUCCCAAGGGUAUGGCUGUUCGCCAUUUAAAGUGGUACGCGAGCUGGGUUUAGAACGUCGUGAGACAGUUCGGUCCCUAUCUGCCGUGGGCGCUGGAGAACUGAGGGGGGCUGCUCCUAGUACGAGAGGACCGGAGUGGACGCAUCACUGGUGUUCGGGUUGUCAUGCCAAUGGCACUGCCCGGUAGCUAAAUGCGGAAGAGAUAAGUGCUGAAAGCAUCUAAGCACGAAACUUGCCCCGAGAUGAGUUCUCCCUGAGACUUAAAGUCUCCUGAAGGAACGUUGAAGACGACGACGUUGAUAGGCCGGGUGUGUAAGCGCAGCGAUGCGUUGAGCUAACCGGUACUAAUGAACCGUGAGGCUUAACCUUACAACGCCGAAG
rnacentral:rRNA from 1 species